GAAAUGCGAUAAGUAGUGUGAAUUGCAGAAUUCAGUGAAUCAUCGAAUCUUUGAACGCAAAUUGCGCCCCUUGGUAUUCCAUGGGGCAUGCCUGUUCGAGCGUCAUCUACACCCUCAAGCUCUGCUUGGUGUUGGGCGUCUGUCCCGCCCCCGCGCGUGGACUCGCCCCAAAUCCAUUGGCAGCGUUCCUUGCCCCCUCUCGCGCAGCACAUUGCGCUUCUCGAGGGCGGCUCCGGGACGCGAUCCAGCAAGAUGACCACCGUCUUUGACCUCGGAUCAGGUAGGGAUACCCGCUGAACUUAAGC
rnacentral:misc_RNA from 1 species